CGUUAUCGGUCAUCGGGCGAGACUGACGUGCCUUUGGUCUUUCGGUCCUCUUAACAUCAGACAGAGGCGGAGUUUACAAAGCUGUUACCUGACCACGCCCACUUGCCUGUUGGAGACUUAUUGAUAAAGAUACCUGGAUAUUGAAAGGCAUCGGAUUACCCUUCGAGCCACUAACGAUGGAUAACCACGCAGCUUCAAUUCAAGCCAUGUCGAGAAAACUGCGUCGAAUAGUCUAAGCAAUCAUGUAAUAGUUUACCAGCUUCCACAGAUUACUUAAUUUAUGACCGAUUGUCCAUUGCCAGAUGUAAAUAAUAAUAAAAUUAAUAUUUUCAUCUGUGCAGUGGAAAAUCGGUCUGAAAUGAAAUAAGUAAUUUGUGGAAGCUGAUGGUGUGUUACGAAAGGCAUGCCAGUUGACUAACAUAAUUAAAAUGCUAGAUAUAAGCGUGAAGACUUGUAAUCUUACUUUUGCAAACAAUGUUUUUAUUGGUUGCUGGUACCGACACCUUCCCCUUGGUACUAACUAGGACUACAAGUCACUCAUGCCUUUAAGUUACCUAAUCUUUUACACAUUUUGAGAAUUGACAUCUUUAUAUAUAAUAAUAAUAUUAUAACAUCAAACGCACCCUCGAUAGGAAAAAGUUGCUCUAAUCAACGAAGCAGCUUUAGGUUAAAUAUUUUUUGUUUAAACUGCAUUUGAAUAUGCAGCAUGCAUACAGGUUUGACCAUCAACCAAUAAAUCCGGUAAAUGAAAAUUUUCCGGUGUAGCUAUGAAGUUUUACACGAUUAUGUGUGUGUAACAAUCAUAGUUAUUUAAUUGUGAAUCAUAACAACUUGAUAGUUUAAAGACUGCGACAUUGUCACUGAAUGCAGUUAAUCGACUUACACGGACUUGACGAACCCGGAUUGGACAAGCAUAAGCGACAUUUUUAAUCUUUCCCAUUCGCGGAUCUAAACGUCGUAGAACAACCUCGACAUUUGUAACAUCAAUAUCGAAGGAGUCAGGACCGCGGCUCCUUCGAUAGUUUAGAUUCGCACUUUCCUUAUUAAAAACCUUCCUAUAAGUGGCUUGAUAAAUCGGAGUCAAUGGAGAAUUUCAUGUUAACAUCUCAUGAAAAAAAAAAAAAUAUAAAAAAUACAAAAAAAAGAUAAAAAUAAAAUUCAAAAAUGUCUAAGCUUGUUUCUUUUAUCCCCUUUUCUCUC